rnacentral:SRP_RNA from 1 species
GGGCGGGUCCUGUGCGACGGGACGCUAUGAACCAUGUCAGGCGGGGAACCGAGCAGCAUUAAGUAGUUUUUCCUGUGCGCGCAGUAAAUCGGUUCAUU